UACGAAGGGUGCAAACGUUGCUCGGAAUUAUUGGGCGUAAAGCGCACGUAGGCGGCUUAGCAAGUCGGAUGUGAAAUCCCUCGGCUCAACCAAGGAAGUGCAUCCGAAACUGCAGAGCUUGAGUACUUAAGAGGAUCGCGGAAUUCCCGGUGUAGAGGUGAAAUUCGUAGAUAUCGGGAGGAACACCAGUGGCGAAGGCGGCCCCCUGGGCCGGCCCUGACACUGAGACGCGAAGGCGUGGGGAGCGAACGGG
rnacentral:rRNA from 1 species